GAGUCGGCUGAGUGCAGGAUCCAUGGUGAGAUGACAAAAGAGGAAAACACACUAUAUGGAGAGAAGUACAAAUAAAGUAUUUCUGAACAAUAAAGGACAGAGUAAGAUAAUGAAUACCUGGAAUGACAUAUUAUUACUAGUUAGUAGAUCUCUUCUGUCAUCAUUAUUUACCCAUACACCGGUGACGUCAGAAGGGACGUGAUUUCCUCAUAUGAAAGUGAAAGUAACUGUGUAGUCUACACCGUUACAACAUGACUGUAGAAAAUGUAGCGCACAUUUCUCGGCAACAUUAGAAGCAGGAUAAAUGUGUUGAUUUGAAGGACAGACUGACAGACUGGAUCCAUUUUGAGACGACAGAGCAGAAAACACUAUAUGGAGAUUAUUGAAAAAUAAAGGGAAGCCUGGGCAACUGAAAUGUCUGAGCUUUUUCAACAGUCUGACUGUGAACAUCUGUACCAAAACCAAAUGAAGGGG